GCGGCCGGGGCUUCCUGCCCCUCCCAUUUGGGGUGGAAAGAGGCGAAAUCGGAAGCGAGCGGCUGGUUGGAGGAUUCGGAGCUGGGCCGGGCCAGAGGUUCCCGGGAUGGACCCCGAGAGGCCGGGAUCUGCGCCCCUGCCCUGCACCCUGCAGCCAUCGAGCGAGCCAGCUGGCUCCAUCUCCCCACAGCCACCUCUGGAUCUCUCCGGGUUUCCUUUGGCCGAGCCCUGGGACGUCCUCUCGCCGGAUGCCCCCGCUGACGCAGCCCCCGAUUUCGUUCACCCCCUGGUGACGGCUGUUCACCUGGAUCCUGGUGCGCCGUGGUUGAUGUCAAGGAUAAAUCCAGCUGGAUCUACCCCCACUCCACCACUUCUGGAUCCCGCUGGUUUUCCUUCGCCCGAGCUCUGGACCGGGCCCCACAUGGACGCCCCUCCUGACGCAGCUCCCGAUCCUGCUCUGCCCCCCGUGGCUGCUGCCUGCCUGGAUCCCGCAGACGUACCCCCGACAUCAAUGACAAAUCCAGACUUGGGUGAAGUCUUGGCCCACGUCUCUCACACUCUGAGAUGCCACCCCAAGGGUAUGAGGGUGAAGCCGCUGACGAAGAGGCUGCGGAAGGAGCAUGGGGUGGACCUGUUGGCAUUCAGCCAGGACGGGGGGUACCAGGGAGUCGUGUCCUUCCUGCAGGAGACGCCGGGUAUCGAACUCUGGAACCCCGAGAAGGGAGAGAAGUGUCGUGUCCUGAGCUGUACCUUUAAGAAGAACGUCACAGACCCCCUGCCGCUGCUCUGCAGCACCCUGGGCUCCUUCCCCAAUGGCCUGCGGGUCUUCAGUCUGAGGAAGGCCAUGUGGCAGAGGCACGGGGUGAACUUGGAGGAAUUCAGCCAGCAACAGGGAUAUCUGAGCACCCUGGACUAUCUGACCAGGCUGCGUGGGAUCAGGCUGCAGGGGCUGGAGAGAGGGGAAAAGUGUCUUGUCCAGCUUCAGAAGGGUGAGGAGAGAGGGAUGGGGUCCAGGCGUCAGGGCUGAACUGGUCUUAGGUAGGAUGAGGGCAGGUUAUCCCACUGCUCACACCAAUGGACAUCCCGCAUCUUCCUCUGAGGCCAAAUGGACUAGAUGGCCCUUUGGGCUUCCUCCCCCAUGAGAUUUCAUCUCCCACAAUGCACUGUCCUACUGCCAUCAUGCACCACCUCCCGCCACCAAGAAUAGAGGCUAUGGUGCAUUGUGGGAGAUGUAGUCCGACCAGGGAGCCUGGGCUGUAGAGGAGAAUGGCAGUCACAAGGCAUCUGAACUACAACUCCCAUGAAGCACCGCAGUGACUUUUCUAAAUUGAAACAGCUCACUGAAAACUUGAAAUUUUCUAUGGAAAAUCUGGAGCACAGUGAGUCCUUUUUGCCUCAUGUUUUCUUGACAAGCACGACCCCCCCCCCUUUUUUUUUUUGACAAAAGCGACUUUUUUCCCUCACUCUUUUUUGACAUCAGCCAUUUUUCUCUGAUUUUUGACAAAAGCGAGGUUUUUUCCCUCCAUAUUUUUUUUUGACAAAAAUGACAGUUUUCCAUCUGUUUUCUUGACA
rnacentral:lncRNA from 1 species